rnacentral:other from 1 species
UAAACCCUGGGGAGUUCGUGAUUGUUUUUGAGUUCUUGAGCCAAUAUGCAUCAAAUGGGAUCCGCCAGCGCCCUCCCGUGUGCAUACCCGCCUCUUGAGCGGGCAGCCUGACGGAGGGACGGAGGAGCCCCCCUCGUUAAACGAGGUUCAAAACUCCAAGAGCAACACGGCGCCCCGGGGCUAAU